UACGAAGGGGGCUAGCGUUGCUCGGAAUGACUGGGCGUAAAGGGCUCGUAGGCGGUUUGUCGCGUCGGCUGUGAAAACCCGGGGCUCAACCCCGGGCCUGCAGUCGAUACGGGCAGACUAGAGUGCGGUAGGGGAGACUGGAAUUCCUGGUGUAGCGGUGAAAUGCGCAGAUAUCAGGAGGAACACCGGUGGCGAAGGCGGGUCUCUGGGCCGUAACUGACGCUGAGGAGCGAAAGCGUGGGGAGCGAACAGG
rnacentral:rRNA from 1 species